GAAACCGUGUCACGUGCGCGCGAUUUCCGUGGGGUCGGUGGCGCGUGGGGGCCGUAGGCGACCGAAGGUGAAAGGCGCCGCUCCCCCGUCGCGGCUUGGCAGGUGGUGGUGGGGGGGGGUCCUUCGUCACUAAGAGGGAGAAGAGUGGCUAUAACGAGAGCCCCCCCCCCCUCCUCAACAAGAAGGUCUUUGGCCUCACUCUUCCACGCUGGUCAGACGUCUCAGACGGAAGUGGAGAGAAAAAAGAACACAUGGAAGACAUGGGGGAUGAGUUUUGGUGGUCGAUGCGCAAGCUUGAGGACCUGGUGGAGUUGUACAAAGGCAGCCCUUGCCUCUACGACACGAUGCUGCCGGACUACAACAACAAAUGGAAACGACAACAAGCUCUGGAGUUCAUGGCGCAGUCACUUGGAACUAAUAAAAUUGAGGUCGCCAGAAAAAUCCGAAAUCUGCGUACAGUCUAUUCAAGAAAGAAAAAAGAGGGCAAAAGCAGGCAAAGUGGAGAUGGCGGGGGUGAUGCUUCAAGGCAGACUUGGUGGCUGUUGCCACAUCUGGAAUUCUUGGAUAACUUUGUUGGCUGUAAGAAGACCAUCUCUAAUAUGAAGAUGGAAUAUGUCGACAACGAGAGCAGUCAAGAUGUGGAACAGAGGUCUGAUCAAGAUGAAGCUGAACUACCAACCAAAACUAGAAACACCACAGAGAUUCCAAACAGCCCAACUUCAACCCCUGAAUUUACAUUUCAUAGGCCACAAGGCCCAAAGCAAAGGCCCAAAGUUAAAGAGAACAAACUUGGAGAAACAGACAGUCAGAUAAUGGAAUUGGCCAUUAAAAGUAUGGAUACUUACUUUGCAAGGCCAUUUAAGGAGGAUGAAUUUGAUGUGUUUGGCCAAUUUAUUGCCAAUGAGCUACGUUCCCUUCCAUUAAUUGAAAGUCGGCGUUUAAAAUAUAACAUUCUUUCUGCUGUUCAGGAGGCACACUCGCCACAUGAAUGUUCGUACACAUCACACACAGAGCACAUUGCCACCACAGCAGUCCCCAUACAUUCCAUGCAGAGUGCACCACCAACACAACCCCAACAAAAGUCCCCAAAACAACUUCCGUGAACCAGUUACCAUCCUACUGUUCCUCAAAGUAUACACGUUUAAUGGUUGUUACCCAUUAUGCAUUUUUUUGCGUUCAUCCUAUUUUAAAUGUAUGAAAAUACUGUCUAGUUGUUGUGCUUAAUUUUCUUUGCAUCAUCACCCAUGUCAUGCUGGGUGUGACUUGUCGGGGGUUUCCCACCUUCAGGAGGCAGCAAGUCAGAGCAACCAUUUUUUACUGCCCUGAGUAAUGAACCACAAUAAAGGUGAUUUCACACACACGCCAUAUAUAAAUAUCGUCCAUAUAUAUAAAAAAA